AUCUUACAGCCACCUCAGUUGGCAGACAUUGGUUUAGAGAGAAGAGAUUGGACUUCUGGUGAAAUAAAGGACAAGUGCAAAAGUUCCCUUGGUCAAAGUAAGCGUGGAGAAAAACCCAGUAUAGAGCACAAGUCUGCCAGGAGGACUUAAAAGUAAAUCCUAGAAGCUCUCAAGCAGCAAAUGAAACAGCAGGAAAAAAGUCAACAAUUAAAUUCAAUCUGUGAACCAGCAGCAGCAGAGGACAAUAGAAGGUGGUGUUGGACAGGCCAAAAAACUACCAGUGUUUCUCAUCCACUUAGAAUUUCAACAGUCAACCAAAAACAAUGGGGAGAAAGGAGCAUCAAGCAAAAUAAACAAUCGUAUUUCCCUUCAGACAAGGGACAGUCUUCUAUUUCACCUGCAGAAUUCAUUACUUCCAAUGUGAAGACCCUUCUUUCCACAGAAAGGAAUUAUCAAUUAUAUCUGCCUUUUAUAGUGUGAGGCAUCAGGAAUAAGAAAGAACUUUAU